rnacentral:rRNA from 1 species
CAGUCGCCACGGGAAUACGUAGGUGGCAAGCGUUGUCCGGAAUUAUUGGGCGUAAAGGGCUCGCAGGCGGUUUCUUAAGUCUGAUGUGAAAGCCCCCGGCUCAACCGGGGAGGGUCAUUGGAAACUGGGAAACUUGAGUGCAGAAGAGGAGAGUGGAAUUCCACGUGUAGCGGUGAAAUGCGUAGAGAUGUGGAGGAACGUCAGUGGCGAAGGCGACUCUCUGGUCUGUAACUGACGCUGAGGAGCGAAAGCGUGGGGAGCGAACAGGAUUAGAUACCCGUGUAGUCCCUGUCUCUUAUAU